rnacentral:lncRNA from 1 species
AGGAGAAGGGAGCCCGGGAGGAAGGGGCUCUUCCUGUGAAAGCUCACGUGGGACUCCAGGCCGGCCAGUAGAACAUCUGGUGUGGCCCUGACGGCAGGGGUCAGAGCCCUUGCUGGGGCAGUCUUGGUCACUCUUCUGGAAGCCACUGCCUUCUCGCAGUCUGUGUCCCCCGCACCAGCCCUGGGUGUCUGUGUGUGUCCCCGCACUACUGUGGUACAAAUUAACUUCCCAUGUGUCCGAGCUCAUGCCAGUGGACAGUUGUCACUGUUCCCAUGCCCCUUUCUGCUGAGUUCAGCAGGAAUAGACUGAGUCCUUUGCUGUGCCUGUCCUCUGUCCUCUGUGACAGAGCUUGCUGGGGCCCUGACAGGUGCUGUGUGUGUGGUUAGUUGGGCCCGUGGGGACCUGGCUGGGGCACCCACAGCCCGUGAUAGACAGCGAUGGCCAGGCAGUGGCAGCCAACAUGCAGCCAGACCUAGCCACAGCUGAGGGCACCCCGGGCUGUGCAGAAGGCCCACAGCAGCCGCAGCACACCCACUGUGAACUGGAGAGCAGCCUCAGCCACCCCACCUCCAGUGAGCUCACGACCCACAGCGAAAGCCCUUGUGCCCUGUUGGUGCGUCAGGGGUUGGACCCGAGGACGCCCAAGCUCGUCCCCCCUGCUGAAGGAGUCGGUGCUCCCAGGCAGAGAACAGCUAGUGCAGUGAGCAUGUGGAGCUGUGGGGAGAAGCAGGCUGGGCUGCGGGAAGGACAGCUGCUCUGCUUCCACCUGCCAGUAGCCUGGGCCUCCUGGGCCGUGGGGUCCCUAGGCCUGUGGUCCUGCCCUUGAUUCUCCUCCCUGCCCCUGAUUUUCUCCAUGUCCCCUCACUAAGGCUGGGGCCUAUAGGCUGGGCAGGGGCUCUGAGCCCUACCUCCUGCAGGACAGCCCGGCACCCUGAUACCAGUGACCCUCUGCAGCUCCUGCUCGUGGAAAGAAGCGCUCGUGCGUGCACGUGAAGCCUGUCCCUUCUGGCCCCUGCACCAUGGGAAGUCCUGGGCACCGCCAGCUCCCUGUGGGUGACUGAUGUGUAGGUAGGGACUGGGCUUGGGUUGGCCUUGGGUUUGGGUGCUGGCUCUAGCAUUUCCUAGCUGUGUGUCCUAUGUAAGCUGCCCUCUGUGCGACAGCUUGCUCCCCUGCCCUCUCUGUGGAGUGAACUGCCUGGUGGGGAGAGGCGUGACUUGCAGCCUGUGGAGCCCAUAGGAAGGCCUCAGGAGUCUGCCACCCAGUGUAGCCAAGGCCGGGCUUGGGGCGCGGGCCUUGGCAUGGGCAGUGACCAGAGCCAGGCUUGGUGCUUGGCAGGGUCAGCGCCUGCUCUUUGAAAGAGCUGUGUCAGUAACCUGGAAAUCUGCGGAGGUGGGAUCAGUCUGCGGCCUGGCUGAACAAGGAGCCCUCAGCUUGACAUUGACGUCUCCAUCCUAGGCUGCACUCACAGCCAGGAACCCCAUUUCUAGAGCAUGUGGUUGUAAGGAGAAGCCUAGAAACUGUCUGGGUCUGGGGCUAGCCAGCACCAUCCUCCUGACUGGCACCCUCUGGGUGCCACAGACCCUAGCUGAGCCGAGAGCCCAGCCCCAUGCUCCUCAGCACCCUCCCGGCCAUGGCCAUUCCCACAGAGCAGCCACACACCCCUGCUCCAUAUUUAAGCCCAGUAAUUGAAUUGCAAUUGAUAGUACAUGUCGGUUUAAGAUCAUGCUAAUUGCUUCAUUUCCCAGAACACUCCUAAAAAGAAAAUGAAUUUCCCUGUAAUAUUUUCAGUGGGGUGAAAUGACCCUUGUGGAAAUCAAUCCUGGCUCUAGAAUGAGCUGCAGAGUGAGUGGGCGUGCUGGGGCGGGGCUGUGGCUCCCCUCCUGCAGCCUCAGCAGGCAUGAGGAGCUUUCCCGGCCUGAGAGUAAACCCAGCCUCGUGCCAGGCACCGUGUGAGGCUUAGCAGGGCUGUGCCUGUGUAGGCUCUGUGAGCUGGCCUGACUCGGAGGGGACUGGUCUCCCAGGGUCUCAGCACUGGCUAGAGGAGAAACUGUCCCUGUGUGAACGUCAUUCAGGAAUGGUGGGGUGUCCAGGAGUGGGCACAGGGGACAGAAUUCCUACCCGGAAAGGCCAGGGUGAUCCUGGGGCCUCUUGAGUCCCCCCUUCCUCCCUGUCCAUUGGGGCUAGGACUUCCCUUUUGGUUGGUGCCAGCUCAAAAGUGGCAGUGUGCACCCUUCUCUUGACACAGUCUGAUGUAAAAGGUCAUGGAGGUAUGGCCAUGUCCCUUACGAUCCUCAUGGCCACUUUGCUGGGCAGAAGUCAGGGUGAAGCCGGACAGUGUAAAGGAGGCAAAGGACCAGCGUAACAUGCAACAUGGAGGGACCAAGUCCUCUGGCCCUGGUGUCCACUCCCUUGCCCGGUUCUCCAGCUUCCCAGAGCCUCAGUGCUUGGAUGUCAAUGGGGCUGCCGCCCAUGGCCUACUCGACCUUCAUCCACCACCGGCCCACCUGCCCACCCAUCCUAUUCAUCUAUCCCACUCUGCCAAUUUGCUGAGCAGCACCUGUGUGUUGGCCCCUCCUUGAUACACAGAGGGGCAGGUGUGCUGUGUCCCAGGUGAGUGGGGAUGGGGUAUCCAUAGGAGUGCAGCCCUGCAGGUGGUGUGGCCAAAGUGCUCUGUGCUGGACACUUUCUGGCCUGCUUCUAUCAGGCUUCCACCAGUGUUGGGGAUAUGAUGUCCUGCACUAGACCACACGUGCCCAGGCAGACCCUGGUGCUCGUGCAUGCAUUGAGAAGCUUGUGGCACUGGGGUGCUUGGAGAGCUUGGGGCUUGGCCUGAGAGCAAGAUAGCGGAGCAUUCAGACUCUGCCCCACCUCUGACCUGGGGCAGCCUUGGCCUGAACUUACCUUUUCUGGGCCUGACUCUGCCCAUUCUGGGCCCAGAUUGCUCCUCUGACAGGAAGAGUACAGACCAACUGAUCACUAGUUCCCAUCUGGCCCAGGGCUCUCCAUAUACGGUGUCCUUAGUCUCUGUGCCUGUAGCACGCUGCCCCUAAUGCAGCUCCAUCCUGUUUCCUCAGAGCAAUUUGCUGGACGUGAACCAGAUCAUCAAGGACUUGGCCUCCAUGGCGUCGGAGCAAGGAGAUGCCGCUG